UACGGAGGGGGCUAGCGUUGUUCGGAAAUACUGGGCGUAAAGCGCACGUAGGCGGCGCAGCAAGUCAGGGGUGAAAUCCCGGGGCUCAACCUCGGAACUGCCCUUGAAACUGCAGUGCUAGAAUCUUGGAGAGGCGAGUGGAAUUCCGAGUGUAGAGGUGAAAUUCGUAGAUAUUCGGAAGAACACCAGUGGCGAAGGCGACUCGCUGGACAGGUAUUGACGCUGAGGUGCGAAAGCGUGGGGAGCAAACAGG
rnacentral:rRNA from 1 species